rnacentral:rRNA from 1 species
AUGAAUAGCUUAAGUUGGAACUGCCGGGGAGCGGGGAAUAGCCGGACAGUUCGAGAACUUGCAACUCUUUGCCAGUCGCAUUCCCCCACUCUAGUCUUCUUAUGUGAGACGAGGCAAAAAGAAUAAAAGCUGAGAAGACUAAGGGGUCGUUUGGGUUUGAAAGGAUUUUCUGGUGUGGAUAGUUGCGGUUUGAGUGGUGGUUUGGCACUGUUUUGGCAUGAAUCAUAUGAAGUACAAGUGCUAGACAAGAAUGAACGGUAUAUUGAUGCAUUAGUUCGGGUCCACUGUGAUGCUGCACAAUGGAGAGUGAUGUGCGUAUAUGGAGAGCCGAGAGUUGAGAAUAGACUAGUCAUGUGGACAACGCUACAGAAUCUGAAAAAUGUUAGUGACUUGCCAUGGUUAGCUAUCGGUGAUUUUAACGAGGCUAUGUGGGAUUUUGAGCAUAUAUCUGCCACGCCAAGACCACCAGCCCAGAUGGUGGUCUUCCGAGAUGCACUGGAGGUUUGCGGUCUUGUAGACCUCGGUUUCAUUGGAGUGCCGUUCACCUAUGACAACAAACGCAGCAGGGCGAGCAACGUCAAGGUCAGGCUGGACAGAGCAGUAGCAACGAGCGAGUGGAGGAACAUGUUUGCAUUUUCUUCUAUCUUGCAUAUCCCAUCACCGUGCUCGGACCAUGUGGCUGUUUUGUUGAAAGGCUCGGCUGACCCGGGUCCGUCAGGGAAAAGUAGUAGAAGGUACGAGUUAUUCUAG